AGUGAACGCUGGCGGUAGGCCUAACACAUGCAAGUCGAACGGCAGCACAGUAAGAGCUUGCUCUUACGGGUGGCGAGUGGCGGACGGGUGAGGAAUACAUCGGAAUCUACUUUUUCGUGGGGGAUAACGUAGGGAAACUUACGCUAAUACCGCAUACGACCUACGGGUGAAAGCAGGGGAUCUUCGGACCUUGCGCGAUUGAAUGAGCCGAUGUCGGAUUAGCUAGUUGGCGGGGUAAAGGCCCACCAAGGCGACGAUCCGUAGCUGGUCUGAGAGGAUGAUCAGCCACACUGGAACUGAGACACGGUCCAGACGCCUACGGGAGGCAGCAGUGGGGAAUAUUGGAAAAUGGGCGCAAGCCUGAUCCAGCCAUACCGCGUGGGUGAAGAAGGCUUUCGGGUUGUAAAGCCCUUUUGUUGGGAAAGAAAAGCAGCAGGUUAAUACCCCGCUGUUCUGACGGUACCCAAAGAAUAAGCACCGGCUAACUUCGU
rnacentral:rRNA from 1 species